rnacentral:misc_RNA from 1 species
AAGGAUCAUUAACGAGUGUUUGGGCUUAUAGCCCAGCCUCCCAUCCCUUGUGCAAAAUCGAUGUUGCUUCGGCGGCCGCCGUGGGAAACCUCGGAUGCCGCCGGUAGCCAGAAUAUAAAACCUUCGUUUUGAAUAGUUAAGUCUGAGUUAGUUGGCAAGCGAACUACAACUUUCAACAAUGGAUCUCUUGGUUCUG